rnacentral:rRNA from 1 species
UACAGAGGUCUCAAGCGUUGUUCGGAUUCAUUGGGCGUAAAGGGUGCGUAGGCGGCGCGGUAAGUCGGGUGUGAAAUCUUGGAGCUUAACUCCGAAACUGCAUUCGAUACUGCCGUGCUUGAGGACUGGAGAGGAGACUGGAAUUUACGGUGUAGCAGUGAAAUGCGUAGAUAUGCGGAGGAACACCGAUGGCGAAGGCAAUCCCCUGGGCCUGCACUGACGCUCAUGCACG